rnacentral:rRNA from 1 species
AGGGAAACCGAGUCUUAACUGGGCGUUAAGUUGCAGGGUAUAGACCCGAAACCCGGUGAUCUAGCCAUGGGCAGGUUGAAGGUUGGGUAACACUAACUGGAGGACCGAACCGACUAAUGUUGAAAAAUUAGCGGAUGACUUGUGGCUGGGGGUGAAAGGCCAAUCAAACCGGGAGAUAGCUGGUUCUCCCCGAAAGCUAUUUAGGUAGCGCCUCGUGAACUCAUCUUCGGGGGUAGAGCACUGUUUCGGCUAGGGGGUCAUCCCGACUUACCAACCCGAUGCAAACUGCGAAUACCGAAGAAUGUUAUCACGGGAGACACACGGCGGGUGCUAACGUCCGUCGUGAAGAGGGAAACAACCCAGACCGCCAGCUAAGGUCCCAAAGUCACAGUUAAGUGGGAAACGAUGUGGGAAGGCUCAGACAGCCAGGAUGUUGGCUUAGAAGCAGCCAUCAUUUAAAGAAAGCGUAAUAGCUCACUGGUCGAGUCGGCCUGCGCGGAAGAUGUAACGGGGCUAAACUGUGCACCGAAGCUGCGGCAGCGACGCUUAUGCGUUGUUGGGUAGGGGAGCGUUCUGUAAGCCUGCGAAGGUGUCCUGUGAGGGAUGCUGGAGGUAUCAGAAGUGCGAAUGCUGACAUAAGUAACGAUAAUGCGGGUGAAAAGCCCGCUCGCCGGAAGACCAAGGGUUCCUGUCCAACGUUAAUCGGGGCAGGGUGAGUCGACCCCUAAGGCGAGGCCGAAAGGCGUAGUCGAUGGGAAACGGGUUAAUAUUCCCGUACUUGGUGUUACUGCGAAGGGGGGACGGAGAAGGCUAUGUUGGCCGGGCGACGGUUGUCCCGGUUUAAGCGUGUAGGCUGGUUUUCCAGGCAAAUCCGGAAAAUCAAGGCUGAGGCGUGAUGACGAGGCACUAC